rnacentral:rRNA from 1 species
GACGAACGCUGGCGGCGUGCUUAACACAUGCAAGUCGAACGGAAAGGCCCUGCUUUUGUGGGGUGCUCGAGUGGCGAACGGGUGAGUAACACGUGAGUAACCUGCCCUUGACUUUGGGAUAACUUCAGGAAACUGGGGCUAAUACCGGAUAGGAGCUCCUGCUGCAUGGUGGGGGUUGGAAAGUUUCGUCGGUUGGGGAUGGACUCGCGGCUUAUCAGCUUGUUGGUGGGGUAGUGGCUUACCAAGGCUUUGACGGGUAUCCGGCCUGGGAGGGUGACCGGCCACAUUGGGACUGAGAUACGGCACAGACUCCAACGGGACGCAGCAGUGGGGAAUAUUGCACAAUGGGCUGAAGCCUGAUGCAGCAACGCCGCGUGCGGGAUGACGGCCUUCGGGUUGUAAACCGCUUUCGCCUGUGACGAAGCGUGAGUGACGGUAAUGGGUAAAGAAGCACCGGCUAACUACGUG